AUGACUUUGAUCUGCGUCCUCAUCUGGACUCUCCUCUGCUGCUGCUUCACAGAGUCCAGAGGACAGGCCACAGUGAUUCAGCCUGCAGCAGUGCCAGCUGAUCUGGGAGGAACCGUCACCAUCAGAUGUACAACUAGUCAGAAUGUUUAUAGCGGAGACAGUUUAACAUGGUACCAACAGAAAGAUGAACAAUCUCCCAAGCUGCUUCUUUGUUAUGCUAGCAGCAGAGCAUCAGGGAUUCCAGGUCGUUUUACAGGCAGUGGAUCAAACUUUGACUUCACUCUGACCAUCAGUGGAUUUCAGGCUGAAGAUGCUGCAGUUUAUCACUGUAAGAGAUACCACUUCAUCAAAGAUCAAAAAAUACCCAUCAUUUUUGGUGCCGUGACCCGGAUCCCAACAUACCCAUUCGUUGACAGGAGGAGGCCUGAACACCGAAACCCGCGCGGGCAGCCAUCAUCAGGACGGCUGAGAGGAAAGACCUGACGACUGAAUUGUCCAACAGGCCGGUGAUUUACUUCAUGCUCAUCCUGCCAGCGGUGGAUUGACGGGAUCCGUGACUGAGGAGGACACCGAACCCGGAGUGAGUAUAAGCAAGAGAGUGACGCUAGGGAAAGAAAUAACAGACGCCAGGUUAAACCUGGGAGCAGUCUUUGUUAUAACACGCCAGAUUAAAUCUGGGGCAGUGUUGGUAAAACACGCCAAGUGGUUCCUGGGAGCAGUGCUAUAGACGCCAAGUUUUUUCUUGGGAGCAGUCACUUAGUGCGCCAGACUAAGUCUGGGAG